UACGGGGGGGUAAGCGUUGUUCGGAAUUACUGGGCGUAAAGGGCUCGUAGGCGGCCAACUAAGUCAUACGUGAAAUCCCUCAGCUUAACUGGGGGACUGCGUGUGAUACUGGAUGGCUUGGAUGUGGGAGAGGGAUGCGGAAUUCCAGGUGUAGCGGUGAAAUGCGCAGAGAUCGGAAGGAACACCCGUAGCGAAGGCGGCACUCUGGGCCGGUACUGACGCUGAGGAGCGAAAGCGUGGGGAGCAAACAGG
rnacentral:rRNA from 1 species